rnacentral:miRNA from 1 species
UUUUUGCUUGAGAACACA